rnacentral:rRNA from 1 species
UACGAAGGGGGCUAGCGUUGCUCGGAAUCACUGGGCGUAAAGGGUGCGUAGGCGGGUUCUUAAGGCAGAGGUGAAAUCCUGGAGCUCAACUCCAGAACUGCCUUUGAUACUGAGAGUCUUGAGUUCGGGAGAGGUGAGUGGAACUGCGAGUGUAGAGGUGAAAUUCGUAGAUAUUCGCAAGAACACCAGUGGCGAAGGCGGCUCACUGGCCCGAUACUGACGCUGAGGCACGAAAGCGUGGGGAGCAAACAGG